rnacentral:rRNA from 1 species
GCCAGUUAAGUCAGCCUGAAUGUGCCAGAACUCGUCAGAUCUUCGAAGGCUAAGCCGGGUCGAGUCUGAUUAAUACUUGGAUGGGAGACCACCUGGGAAUACCACGUGUUGUAUGCC